rnacentral:rRNA from 1 species
CCUUUGACGUUAGCGGCGGACGGGUGAGUAACACGUGGGUAACCUACCUAUAAGACUGGGAUAACUUCGGGAAACCGGAGCUAAUACCGGAUAAUAUUUCGAACCGCAUGGUUCGAUAGUGAAAGANGGUUUUGCUAUCACUUAUAGAUGGACCCGCGCCGUAUUAGCUAGUUGGUAAGGUAACGGCUUACCAAGGCGACGAUACGUAGCCGACCUGAGAGGGUGAUCGGCCACACUGGAACUGAGACACGGUCCAGACUCCUACGGGAGGCAGCAGA